UGGGGAAUUUUGCACAAUGGGGGAAACCCUGAUGCAGCGACGCCGCGUGAUUUAGAAGGCCUUCGGGUUGUAAAAAUCUUUUCUAUGGGAAGAAAAUGACAGUACCAUAGGAAUAAGGACCGGCUAAUUACGUGCCAGCAGCCGCGGUAAUACGUAAGGUCCGAGCGUUGUCCGGAAUCAUUGGGCGUAAAGGGUACGUAGGCGGGUAAGCAAGUUAGAAGUGAAAUCCUAUAGCUCAACUAUAGUAAGCUUUUAAAACUGCUCAUCUUGAGGUAUGGAAGGGAAAGUGGAAUUCCUAGUGUAGCGGUGAAAUGCGCAGAUAUUAGGAGGAAUACCGGUGGCGAAGGCGACUUUCUGGCCUUAACCUGACGCUGAGGUACGAAAGCGUGGGUAGCAAACAGG
rnacentral:rRNA from 1 species